rnacentral:rRNA from 1 species
GACGAACGCUGGCGGCGUGCCUAAUACAUGCAAGUUGAGCGCUGAAGGUUGGUACUUGUACCAACUGGAUGAGCAGCGAACGGGUGAGUAACGCGUGGGGAAUCUGCCUUUGAGCGGGGGACAACAUUUGGAAACGAAUGCUAAUACCGCAUAAAAACUUUAAACACAAGUUUUAAGUUUGAAAGAUGCAAUUGCAUCACUCAAAGAUGAUCCCGCGUUGUAUUAGCUAGUUGGUGAGGUAAAGGCUCACCAAGGCGAUGAUACGUAGCCGACCUGAGAGGGUGAUCGGCCACAUUGGGACUGAGACACGGCCCAAACUCCUCGGGAGGCAGCAGUAGGGAAUCUUCGGCAAUGGACGAAAGUCUGACCGAGCAACGCCGCGUGAGUGAAGAAGGUUUUCGGAUCGUAAAACUCUGUUGGUAGAGAAGAACGUUGGUGAGAGUGGAAAGCUCAUCAAGUGACGGUAACUACCCAGAAAGGGACGGCUAACUACGUG